GCUGGGCGCAGUAGUGCAGGCCUGUAAUCCCAGCAUCUCAGGAGGCUGAGGCAGGAGGAUCUGCGAGUUCAAAGCCAGCCUCAGCAAGCUCUAAGCAACUGUGUGAGACCCUGUCUCCA
rnacentral:sRNA from 1 species